rnacentral:sRNA from 1 species
UUGAGAUCCUCAGAGAAUUAAAUCUGCUGCUCGUCUCCAGAAUAGAUAAUGGCAGGGCACGCUUCCCACAUCGCUGCCUCCUGCCAAUGCGGCUCAGUCCUGACCUGGCUACCAUUCAUGGCUGGACAGAGGAGAGUUCAUUCUCCGUAUCCCAUUCAUAGCUGCC